UGGGGAAUCAUGGUCAAUGGGCGAAAGCCUGAACCUGCGACGCCGCGUGAGUGAUGAAGGUCGUAAGAUCGUAAAACUCUUUUCAGGGAUCUUAAAGCACAACCGUCAACAACGGCUGUGUGUGACUCUCCCUGGAAGAAGCCCCAGCCAACUACGUGCCAGCAGCCGCGGUAAUACGAAGGGUGCAAGCGUUACUCGGAAUUACUGGGCGUAAAGCGUGCGUAGGUGGUUGUUUAAGUCUGAUGUGAAAGCCCUGGGCUCAACCUGGGAAUGGCAUUGGAAACUGGGCAGCUAGAGUGCGGUAGAGGGUAGUGGAAUUCCCGGUGUAGCAGUGAAAUGCGUAGAGAUCGGGAGGGACAUCUGUGGCGAAGGCGACUGCCUGGACCAGCACUGACACUGAGGCACGAAAGCGUGGGGAGCAAACA
rnacentral:rRNA from 1 species